rnacentral:rRNA from 1 species
GGGUCAGUAGGUUGGUCGUGCCACCGGUACGUACUGGUCUCACUGAUUCCUCCUUCCUGAAGAACCGUAAUGCCAUUAAUUUGAUGUUGCGGGGAAACAGGACUGUUACUUUGAAAAAAUUAGAGUGUUUAAAGCAGGCUAACGCUUGAAUACAUUAGCAUGGAAUAAUGAAAUAGGACGAUCGAUCCUAUUUUGUUGGUUUCUAGGAUUGACGUA